CGGGGCAAACGCUGCAAAGUUUUUUGUAGAGGAAAGUCCACGCUCGCACUAUCUGGGAUGAUAGUAGUGUUUGUGCUUAGGGAAAAAAUAACCUAAGGCAACAAUAGUUGACGGCUUCUUGCUGACCUAAGGUAUUGCUAUGGUUAGUUGGAUGUAAAAGUGCCACAGUGACGAAGCUAUUUAGAAAUAAGUAGAGUGAAACGAGGUAAACCCCACAAGCGAGAAACCCAAAUUUUGGUAGGGGAACUACUCGAGGAGAAAAAGAAUCUAAGAGUGGAUACUUAGGUAUAGAUAAAUGUUUGCCGCCUUUUUAGGUACAGAACGUGGCUUAUAA
rnacentral:RNase_P_RNA from 1 species